CCUACGGUGGGCUGCAGUGGGGAAUAUUGGACAAUGGGCGAAAGCCUGAUCCAGCCAUGCCGCGUGUGUGAAGAAGGCCUUCGGGUUGUAAAGCACUUUCAGUGGGGAAGAAAGCCUUGGGGCUAAUACCCUCGAGGAAGGACAUCACCCACAGAAGAAGCACCGGCUAACUCCGUGCCAGCAGCCGCGGUAAUACGGAGGGUGCGAGCGUUAAUCGGAAUUACUGGGCGUAAAGCGCGCGUAGGCGGUCUGAUAAGCCGGUUGUGAAAGCCCCGGGCUCAACCUGGGAACGGCAUCCGGAACUGUCAGGCUAGAGUGCAGGAGAGGAAGGUAGAAUUCCCGGUGUAGCGGUGAAAUGCGUAGAGAUCGGGAGGAAUACCAGUGGCGAAGGCGGCCUUCUGGACUGACACUGACGCUGAGGUGCGAAAGCGUGGGUAGCAAACAGGAUUAGAUACCCGUGUAGUC
rnacentral:rRNA from 1 species